UACGUAGGGUGCAAGCGUUGCCCGGAUUUAUUGGGCGUAAAGGGCGCGUAGGCGGCUCGGCACGUCCGUUGUGAAAUCGCCCGGCUCAACUGGGCGGGGUCGGCGGAUACGGCCGAGCUGGAGCAAGCUAGGGGGUAAUGGAAUUCCCGGUGUAGUGGUGGAAUGCGCAGAUAUCAGGAAGAACACCUAUGGCGAAGGCAGCUCUCUGGGACGGUACUGACGCUGAGACGCGAAAGCGUGGGGAGCGAACAGG
rnacentral:rRNA from 1 species